AUUGAACGCUGGCGGCAGGCCUAACACAUGCAAGUCGAGCGAGCGGCGGACGGGUGAGUAAUGUAUGGGGACUGCCCGAUAGAGGGGGAUAACUACUGGAAACGGUGGCUAAUACCGCAUACUAUCGGAUAACCCAUAUGGGAUUAGCUAGUAGGUGGGGUAAAGGCUCACCUAGGCGACGAUCUCUAGCUGGUCUGAGAGGAUGAUCAGCCAAACGUGGAGUGAGACACGGCCCAGACUCCGACGGAGAGAGCAGUGGGGAAGAUUGCACAAUGGGCGCAAGCCUGGUGCAGCCAUGCCGCGUGUAUGAAGAAGGCCUGAGGGUUGUAAAGUACUUUCAGCGGGGAAGCGUUAGCCGAAGAAGAAGCACAGGAUAACCCAGUGCCAGCCGCCGCGGUAAUAC
rnacentral:rRNA from 1 species